rnacentral:rRNA from 1 species
AUUGAACGCUGGCGGCAGGCCUAACACAUGCAAGUCGAGCGGAGCGUCGGACGGGUGAUUAAUACCUAGGAAUCUGCCUGGUAGUGGGGGCUAAAGUUCGGACACGGACGCUAAUACCGCAUUCUAUCAGAUGAGCCUAGGUCGGAUUAGCUAGUUGGUGAGGGAAUGGCUCACCAAGGCUACGAUCCGUAACUGUUCUGGGAGGAUGAUCAGUCACACUGGAACUGAGACACGGUCCAGACUCCUACGGGAGGCAGCAGUGGGGAAUAUUGGACAAUGGGCGAAAGCCUGAUCCAGCCAUGCCGCGUGUGUGAAGAAGGUCUUCGGAUUGUAAAGCACUGUAAGUUGGGAGGCGUUACCGACAGAAUAAGCACCGGCUAACUCUGUGCCAGCAGCCGCGGUAAUUC